rnacentral:rRNA from 1 species
UACGUAGGUGGCAAGCGUCGUCCGGAAUCACUGGGCGUAAAGCGCGCGCAGGCGGCGAUCUACGUCUGGGGUGAAAGCCCGGAGCUCAACUCCGGGACUGCCUUGGAUACGGGAUCGCUUGAGGAUUGGAGAGGCAAGGGGAAUUCCACGUGUAGCGGUGAAAUGCGUAGAUAUGUGGAGGAACACCUGUGGCGAAGGCGCCUUGCUGGCCAAUUUCUGACGCUGAGGCGCGAAAGCGUGGGGAGCAAACAGG